UGACCCGGAUGUGAUCUGAACACGCAGCCUUCUGAUCUGGAGUCAGACGUUCUACCGUUGCGCCACCGAGUC